CUCGUAGGCGGCCACUCAAGUCGAACGUGAAAACUCGGGGCUCAACCCCGAGCCCGCGUUCGAUACUGGGCGGCUAGAGUCUGGUAGGGGGAUCUGGAAUUCCUGGUGUAGCGGUGGAAUGCGCAGAUAUCAGGAGGAACACCGGUGGCGAAGGCGGGAUCCUGGGCCAGUACUGACGCUGAGGAGCGAAAGCGUGGGGAGCAAACA
rnacentral:rRNA from 1 species